AUUGAACGCUGGCGGCAGGCCUAACACAUGCAAGUCGAACGGUAGCACAGAGAGCUUGCUCUCGGGUGACGAGUGGCGGACGGGUGAGUAACGUCUGGGAAACUGCCCGAUGGAGGGGGAUAACUACUGGAAACGGUAGCUAAUACCGCAUAACGUCGCAAGACCAAAGUGGGGGACCUUCGGGCCUCACACCAUCGGAUGUGCCCAGAUGGGAUUAGCUAGUAGGUGGGGUAAUGGCUCACCUAGGCGACGAUACCUAGCUGGUCUGAGAGGAUGACCAGCAACACUGGAAGUGAGACACGGUCCAGAGUCCUACGGGAGGCAGCAGUGGGGAAUAUUGCACAAUGGGCGCAAGCCUGAUGCAGCCAUGCCGCGUGUAUGAAGAAGGCCUUCGGGUUGUAAAGUACUUUCAGCGGGGAGGAAGGCGGUGAAGUUAAUAGUUUCACCGAUUGACGUUACCCGCAGAAGAAGCACCGGCUAACUCCGUGCCAGCCGCCGCAGUAA
rnacentral:rRNA from 1 species